rnacentral:rRNA from 1 species
UGGGGAAUAUUGCACAAUGGGCGCAAGCCUGAUGCAGCCAUGCCGCGUGUGUGAAGAAGGCCUUCGGGUUGUAAAGCACUUUCAGCGAGGAGGAAGGUGGUGAGCUUAAUACGCUCAUCAAUUGACGUUACUCGCAGAAGAAGCACCGGCUAACUCCGUGCCAGCAGCCGCGGUAAUACGGAGGGUGCAAGCGUUAAUCGGAAUUACUGGGCGUAAAGCGCACGCAGGCGGUUUGUUAAGUCAGAUGUGAAAUCCCCGGGCUCAACCUGGGAACUGCAUUUGAAACUGGCAAGCUAGAGUCUCGUAGAGGGGGGUAGAAUUCCAGGUGUAGCGGUGAAAUGCGUAGAGAUCUGGAGGAAUACCGGUGGCGAAGGCGGCCCCCUGGACGAAGACUGACGCUCAGGUGCGAAAAGCGUGGGGCAGCAAACAGGAUUAGAUACCCUGGUAGUCCACGCUGUAAAACGAUGUCGAUUUUGGAGGUUGUGCCCUUGAGGCGUGGCUUCCGGAGCUAACGCGUUAAAUCGACCGCCUGGGGAGUACGGCCGCAAGGUUAAAACUUAAAUGAAUUGACGGGGUCAUAGCUGUUUCCU